CUGGGUUCGCUCAGGAAUAGUUAAAUAUUUUCCUAUUGCUUGGGGAACAGCAACAAAGCGAUGAAAGAGGAGGAAUGCUGUAAAGGGAGAGCGCUUCACGGCUGAGCCGCACUGCUGGGAUUUGGAGCAGUCCCUCUCGCUCGGGGGAGGAAAGCAAACAGACACAGAAACGACAAGUUGACAACAAAGCAGAGGGACAACGCAGCAGAGCCCCGAGUUGGCAUCCGUCAGCCAGCCACGGCAGGAACACCCGGCUGCGGGUGCAGCGACGGGCACGUCUGCGCAAGGAGAGAGGGGACGUGCCUGAGACAUUUGGUACCGGAGACAAGACCAACAUGGCUCUUUGCAUUGCUUUGCAUCUGAACAAGGGAUUAAAUGUCCACACGGCCUGGAUGCAUGCUGGAACACUUCCAGAAAGUCAGCAAAUUUGCGUUCUCUCUCCCUUUAAAUGCUUUGGCUUCCUGCAGUAAAACGAAAUCCAUUAACAAGUUCCACCCCUGCUCCGAAUUCAAGGAUAGAACUGUCAGUGCUUUAGGAACGAGCUAAAUGGAGGGAUUUCCAUAACAAUCAACAGCUACAGCAUUUAAUCUAUAGUCAUAUUAACCUGGGAUGACAAGGACACGUCUGUCUGUUCUCUCUAAUGUAAUCUACCAUUGUACUCAGACUCCAUUGAAGUCUGCUUUGUAGCAUGCAUUUGGCUAUGAUCAGCUAAUCUCUUUGGCUUUAAGCACAGCUUAGAAAAGAGAGAGAGGGAGACAGACAGAUAAAAGUGAUUAAUAUGCAUGUGCGUGUGCUUAGUAUGUGUCUGCCUUUAAUAUAUGUGUGAGCAUGUGUAUUCGUACCAGUGACUCGGGGGCUAUGUGUUUGCCCAUGCUGAGCGUGUUGCAUGGGUGCAUUCACUUGUGCUCAAGUUAUGCAUUUGUUAGGUGUCAAAAUGCAUCUAGCAAAUGGGCAGAAAUGUGCAUUUGUUUGAAGAUCAGCACUCUGUGGAUGUGUGUGUGGAUGUGAACGCGAGGUGCUUGCGUCGCUUGUCUGCGUGUUUAGGGUACAUGAGCGUGGUUUGCAUGGUGCAGGGUGAAUCAGCGGGACGGUAACAGUGGCCGACCCCGCUGGGGCUUUACGGCAGCCAGCAGCGUGUCCUCUGCAGGGAUGCACAGCCCUGACUGCCCCUUUGCUUUCUCUCAUCUUGCUUUAUUAAUCUUCCUUGAAGAGGCACCUUCCCCAAGCGUGCAAAGCCCGGAGACCGCUUUUGGAUUAAGAGGCGAUUACAGAGAUGCAGCGGCACGCACCAGGACGCCGAGCACCGAAUAAGCUCACAGGGUCAAUUACACUUCCAGCGCUGACUCCAGACACUUCCGAAGAUGCCAUGCUAUCAGCUCCCACCUUCUGCGAGGAGGCUUUUCCCAGGCAGAUAUCAGAGCCUAAUGGCUGCUGUGUGGCAACCCGCAGGCUCACCAUUUGCCUACUUUGCUCCCCCUUUUUAUCCUCGGAGAGCAGGAAGCAAACUGGUCUGUGCAAACUCAUCCCAAGCACUCGCCGUGAUGGCUGUUACUGCUUCACCUUUCCUACUGCCACCGACAGCAAACGGCCCUGUCCCCUCCCUCAGAGGUAAAUCCUGGCCGACAGCCAGCAAGUCGGAGCUUGCAGGAGCUGUGGGGCCCCGCGGUCCCUCCGCUCUCCCCGGGAAGGUGGCGGCAGCUGGUCUCCACGCUCUCGGAGACACCUGCCUCCCGGUCCUGCAGUGGAAUCCUGAAUUGUCUUGGAAAAUGAUUACAAGGCCGGGAUAACAGCAAGACAAAUCCAACCCAAAUCUACUUGUCUGGUCACGGCCGGAGCUGCGAUGAGAUCCGGUGGCGGCAGAGGCGUGCGCGUGGCUGCUGCCAGCCUGCCCUCGCACCCCCAGCGGCUGCGGCCCCUCGCUUUCCGGCCGGCACUGCGGAUUCGCGGAGCUCCUCCCUUUGCUUUGGUCUGCUCCCAAAGGGAACAGAGCCAGGUUUGGGCUGCGGUGUCAGCCUUGCGGGACGGAAGCGUGGAGGGUUGUUCUUCCCGCAGGCCGGGCCAUUUCGCUGCUCCGCGCCUUCGCAGCACCGUCCUCGCUCCCCGAAUGCAGCUGAUCGCCGCUGUACCUGCCCGGGGUGCAAACCGAUUAACUGGCUUCUCCCCAGCGCCUGGCUGCCUGAGACUGCCCACAAGACGCACGGAGAAGUCCCCCAAAGACUAUAAAUGCUGAAAUGUCUCGCAUUACACAGAACCUGUCCCAAGGCGCUCUAUAAAUCCUCUUUUACCACCAUCCUACACUCUCAGCUCGAGUCUCGGAGCUGAACACUGCUGGAAGUUCCUUUAAUUAGGAAGCUGGAGGUGGGAGUGUAAACUAACUGGCUAUAAAGAUUUAGAGGAGACAAGCACAGGAAAAUGUACUCUUCCAGUCCUGACAACAGAAAAAAAUAAUGGCAGGCCUUCCACGGACCGGUCUUGCUGCUGCCACCAUCCCCAGCUUCUUUGCAAGAACUGCUUGCAUUCAGACAUUACAGUUUCCUCCAUUUCUGGUCCUCUCCUUUAAAAACACUUCUGAUCCAGUCCAUGAUUUCUGUAUCACUGUUUAGUCACAUUGUACAAGGGGGUGGAAAUUGGAAACUCUGAUUCACCAGGAUCCUUGCACAGAAACUUUACACACUGGAACAAUUAAUUAUCCAUUAAAACCUUUGUCUGUGUGUAUCUCAUUGUUCCAGACUGCUAUUGAAGGCACUCAGUGAAACAAUUGGUCUGCCAGCAUCUGAGUGUGGUUAAUCAACUAACAAGCUUAUAAAUACAAUAGAUGCAGCAAUGCUUUGCUCUCAGAAGCUCUGUUGCUAAAGGAUCUCAAGUCAUUUCAGAAAAUGUCAUAUUAGCUGCGGCUCUCAGUGCUUCUGUGGAUAGGUGAACCUGCGGGUCCCCUUUUUACAGCAGGGAGAACUGGGUAAGACUACGAUGUUCAAAGACGUGAUUAAAAAGCUUUCUCAUCGAGUUUGAGCAUCACGGCAUGCAGGACUUGGAUAGAAGAAACAGCAGAGUGGGGCUCACAGCCCGGUCUCGAACUCCAGUCCAUAAUUUGCUGCCCUGGGAAGGACAGAUGAAUUUGUCGACACCUGCUCAACCCCUGAAAAGGAUCACAGGCAGCAUGUGGCCCGUAUAGUUCUGCUGCACAUUGCCCUUGUCUUCCUCCAAGAGGGGCAGGAGGAGGAAGAGACCCUGCAUCUAGGUGCUGCAGGAAAGCCAGGGGCUCAGCGUCCCUGGUGCACCAGAGCAGUGCUCGAUUCGUCCGACAGCGGCUGUCUGGGAUUAUUGGUCUCCGGGGCCUCGUAGAGCAGUCUCAGAGCUACCAGAAGCCUCUCCUGGCUGCAGAUAGCACCCGAAGAGCCACUGAGGGGAGCCACGAUAUUUAAUACAGCUUAGCAUCAGCAGUGCCCAGGGCAUGUUCUCUGCUCCAGCAAUUAGCACGUGGGGCAGUUUUAUGCUGCCUGGGAAAUUCCCUAUCCCCUGGAAAACUUCCCAACCCGAAAGGCGGUUUGAAGCAGGUGUGGACUGACCGGGAAGGGGAGAAGGAGAAGCGUCUAGAGGAUUGCAGCCAUGUAAUUAGCACAGUCUCCUGUGGCAUGCUCCAGGAUACACAAAAUAGUUGAGACCAAGCGAUGGCACAGGCCUCGUCAGGUAGAUUGGGGCUGUGGCCUGCUCUGACAUGAAGGCUGCUUUGGGGCAGCAGAGCAAUAUGAGGCUGAGUUAAUGGGACGAAGCUCUUCUGAGGAAAUCUGAAAAUUUUUUCUUAUUUGAGGUUAGGCGGUACUCUCUGGGUCUUGGAAAGUUGUAUCUGCAUCUGCUGGGUGGGCAAAGUCUGGGUAAGUGGUGUUUUAAGGGAAGCAGGUGGAAGCAUGAACUCUUUAAGGGUACGUUUGAUGGUAGAAAUUUUCCCUCAGUUGUGUCUAGGCCAUAAUUACAGAGGCCUUAGGGGUGUUUCCUGAGGUUUAAUGGCUGGCCAAGAAGAAAACACUCUCAUUAGUGCUAUUAUAAGUUUCAAUUAUUUUUUUCAGUCAUGUGUUUAUUUUUCUUCCUUGCAGCUUUGAGGGGCUGCACGUGAGCACAUACAUGCAUCCUCUCAAAUACCCUUUGCUAUUUGCCUGCGGACAGAGAAGGCCAUGAAAAAAAGCCACGGAAGUCACAGAGCUGAGGAUAACCUGGGAGGAUACAAAGAACAAAAUAUCCAAUUGUAAAGAUGGAUGGAGGGGCCUUUAAACGACCAUCAGUGAAACUUUGAGCUUCCAUUGCGUUUUUUUUAACAAUGUCUCUAAAUGGCCUUACUCGCUGUGGAGAGCUCCUGAGAGCAAACCCUCUGACUGCCUGCUGAUGGAGUUUCUCCCCUGGGGUAGGCAGCCCAUGGACCCCCUGCCUUAGUUUGGCUGUUGAUGAGAAGGACCGUCCGCCUGGGAAGCACCUCUGCGCUGCCCCUGAGGAGAGAGGCUGGCACAGAGCGGGCCGUGCUCCAAGGGAUGUGGAGCAAAUGCUCUGACCCAGCAGUAGCCUAUGUCCUUGGGGUCUCACUGUGAGGUCUUCAAGCGCUUCCCUCCGAAAGUGGUUGACUAUAUCAGCCAUUUGUUGGCAUUGCCAAGGCCCCUGGUUCCAUCAGGACGUGGUGGCUGAUGCAGCAGGCAGGGUGGGAGCUGAGUGACACCCGUCGCAGGGCUGGAUCUCCCCUCGCACGCUCGGGCGAGCCCUGGCUUUUUGAAGGAAACAACCGUAGCUGGACUUGCGGCAUUCAUGUGCCCACAUGCCACUUCUCUGUCUUGGCUGGAACAUGAAUUAGCGUGCUCAAGAGUGGGUAAGGCUUUUGGAAAAGGGGAACUGCUCCCAUUCCCACGCAAUAUAGAAAUGGCUGUGGAGUCCUUGAAGGCUUUGGGCUGAUAGUGUUGUCAAGGAAAGUCUAAACAAUUAAGACCAAGUUAAGGACUCAAAAUGAAACCUCAGGCCUAGGCUUCCAAAAGCAAAACUUUCUUGCGCUUUUGCCACAAACUUCCUAGCCUCGGCAGCACUCAAAAAGCAGCAGAGAUAAGACCCAUCUGUCAGUCUGAAGAGGCUUGAGUAGACAAGAAUCUCAUUUUGAACCAGCAGAUAAACUUCCCUGAUGGGAAGAAUGUAUCACCAAAGCGUUUUAGCAAGUAUGACCCUGAGUCUGGGCGUACAGACAUCUCUUUGGAGACGUGCACAUGGGCUAUCCCUCAGCAUCCUGUGCCGAUAACCAGUGCGAGCCAUCUUCCAUCUUGCUGUAACAUCAUUCCCACAGCUUCCUUUAACAUGUCGCAUGAUUCACUAUCUCGACUGAGUAGGAGGAAAAUGGUGAGUCAAACAGCAGUGAAGAAGACAGGCUUGUUGCCCCCACGAAAGGCUGUCACGAUUUCCCCCACUUGUCCCAGGCAAUCUCUCCUCCAGCUGCAGCCUCCCUCCGCUUUCCUGCAUUACCACCAGUUUCUCCUGAAAAAGGCAAAGACGAGUUUAGGAGACAAAGCAAACUACAGCACUGAUAUUCUUUCCAUCCUUCUGUGUCUGAAGCUGGUCAGUCUGGGACUUCAACAGCCAGAAGACCGACUCGUCCUGUGGCAGAAGGCCUCUACCACCCUCCCUCCACUGCCUUUUGCAAGUCGCUGGGGAAAACCUGACAAAAAUUCCUUUCUUUUUAAAAUUUUAUUAUUUAAUAUAUAUUUAGCUAUACCGUCACUGUAGGCCCACGUACCUUCCCACGGACAUGACUAUAACGCCUGUAACGAUGGUGACACUCAGGCUGCUGAAGGAGGGUGAGGUUAUACACGUGGACAGCAGUGUACACAGGUCUGUCAGUUAUUCCCCCAUCACCUGUCGGGUUUAUACAGUGUUGUUUCACUGUGUGGGGUCCGUGACCAUGGGCCACGGAGGCAGCUGGGGUGGCUUUGUGCACCUUUCCUGAGAGACUGCUGGGAGCUGCAGCCCGAAAGAGGAGCCCCGGGGAUUCAGCAUGUCUUGGGACUCCUGUGCCCAGCGGGGUUCAGGGCUGAGGGCCAAACCACAGGAUGGGGAGACCAGGAGAGCUUCAGAAGGACUUUCUUAGCCUGGACAGCUGCAUCUGAGACCCUUCUUUCUGAGACCUGACGGCCACCCUGCCCUGCUUGCCACCCAAAGCCUCAGGGCACCAAGGAUGGGCUGCAAAACGUCACCAAAAAUUGUGCUGAAGGACCCAUCCUGAACUGUCAACAGGGAGAUUCUCCAGCCACAAAGUUUGCUAACUGGAUUUAAAGUAUAUUUGAAAUAAAAUUAGAAAACCCAGCGGGCUGUGGCCCUGUUUUGCUCUUGAUAGCGAGAGGCACCCUUGCUCCGCUCCCCCUUGGCUGCCUCCAUCCCCCGUCUCCCCCGCGCCUCCUCGUUAUGCCAUUUUAAUUGAGGCAGCGUGUGCCCUGCAUGCCCGAGGGGAGGGAGCCGUUGUCCCGAGACCGCCGGCUGCUGCGCCCGGGACCAGGACGCAGAAAAUGCCACAAAAUUAGUAUUCCCGGCGCCUGCCCGGCCGGCUCCCGCACUGCUUCGGGCAGCACCCGGUGCUCUGCCCCUGGCGAGGCUUCCUGGGUGCCCGGCGCCCGGCGGAGUCACCCUUCGCCUCCCACCACGACGAGAGGAGGAAGAGGAGGAGGAGGGCAAGGAAAGGACCUGCAAGAGCCCUGGCGGACUGGCACGGACGGUGCAAUGCUGCAUUUCUUUCACCUCGCUUAAUUGCAGCUGGGCAGGGGGUCCCAGAGGGAGAGGAUGCAUCUAGAUACCCCUUUUUAGGCCAGCGCAAACUGGGGCACAGAGAAAGCCCCGGGCGUCUCUAAAGACUCCACAUUUGCUUGCUCUGCUCAGGUCUACGUGGUCAUUUGGGACUCCAUGAAGAGGAGACUGGGAUUCCCUAAUCUGCACCCCGGCUGGCAAUUUCUGCAUAAUCCAAGGAGGAGGAAGAGCCCGAGGAAGCCAAACGCCGUUCUGCUGCUCCGGCCCAAGCCGAGGGUGGGCUUCUGCACAUGGGGCAGCGGGUCCAGCGACCGGGAGAGGUGCCUGCACCUCGGGUCAGCAGAUCCCCCGGACCCAGCAGAGCUGUGGGUCUGCCGUGCCCGCAUGUGCCUGUUCUGCUGACAGGGGCAGUUUGCAUUGAAGGCAGGUUUGCAAGUCUUGCUAGCUAUAUAAAUGAGCAAAUAAAAUGAACAUUAACAACUUCUA